GACGAACGCUGGCGGCGUGCUUAACACAUGCAAGUCGAACGGUGAUGCUCCAGCUUGCUGGAGUGGAUCAGUGGCGAACGGGUGAGUAACACGUGAGCAACCUGCCCCAGACUCUGGAAUAAGCGCUGGAAACGGCGUCUAAUACUGGAUACGAAACUGGCACGCACGGGCCUGGUUUGGAAAGGUUUUCGGUGUGGGCUGGGCUCGCGGACUCUCAGCUUGUUUGUGAGGUAUUGGCUAACCAAGGCGACGACGGGUAGCCGGCCUGGGAGGGCGACAGGCCACCCAGGGACUGAGGGACGGCCCAGAGUCCUACGGGAGGCAGUAGUGGGGAAUAUUGCACAAUGGGCGAAAGCCUGAUGCAGCGGCGCAGCGUGAGGGAUGACGGCCUUCGGGUUGUAAACCUCUUUCGGCAGGGAAGAAGCGAAAGUGACGGUACCUGCAGAAGAAGCACCGGCUAACUACGUG
rnacentral:rRNA from 1 species